GUUUCUAAUUCAGCUUUUACGUAGCCUGAUAGCUGUUCAUUACUGUAAGAAGAAUCUCACACAAAUGGAAGUUAUUCUAUUCAAGAUCAUCAGUGUCAUGGGCUCAGAGUUUGCUUGGCAAGGCCACCUUAUAGUUUGGAUUCUUGAAUCCCACUGAGGAUGCACAGAGCUGAUCUCUGAGUCUGUGAUAUCUGCUGCCACUCACAGGAGAGGGCACCAACAGGCUCCUUGGUGUUGGAGCAGUGAAUUCCCAGCUGGGGAGGACAGCAGCUUCUGCACUGUGCAGUACCAGCCAGGAUGGAAAGCUGAACAUCCAUACCCAUCGCUCUCCUGCUCUUCACAGACACAAUUCUCCACCUUUUUUUUUGGAUGAAGUGCAAUGGGAACAGGGCUGCACAGUGGAGAACUCAGUGUAGCAGAAGGAUGGGAAGCAUGGAGCUUUCUGAGAUGGUUUGGAUGUUGCUUCCACCAACUAGAAGGGAUGUUAUACUAAAAUUGUUCAUCAAAACUGAGACCUCAUAUGGAUUAUUCUAUUGGAAAGUCAAGAAAACAACCACUGAUUUUUUCCCCACAAAUAUAAAGCAGAGAUCUUGCAUAAGAGGAGACAAUGGUAAAAUAGCCAAGCACAAGAAGUUUAAGAAGAAGGCUGAGGUUAGAGCAGAGAGAAACUGUCAGAAGUUUUUAAAGAAAUUUUAUGAAGCCAUAUUUGUAUUCAAAAUCUAUGAUCAUUUUGAAAGCAAAGUAACUACUGUUAGAUUAUUUGCUCAAAGUAGCUUUGUAGUCAGAAACACCCCAUCACUUGUAUCCCACUCCAAAAAAUACAUUCUAUAUAAUUCUGAAAUCCCAAAAGACAAGACAAAUAAUCUGCAUUUAUGAUGCUUAGUGUUUUGGGAUUAGAUGGAAAUAGCUGUAUUUUUCUAGAAAUGUUAUUCUGGAAUAUUUGAACAACUCAACUUUUGGACCAGGUGCCUGGGUGGUGUGUGUGAUGUGGGUACAUGAGCACUAUGAGGUGGACUUGAACUGUUGCUGCGGUUCCUGUACAUCACUUGCCACAGCCGGGCAUCAUGGCCCCAGUAAAGCCAACCAAGAGUUUGCCAGUGACUUCACUGCAGCCAGAAUUUCAUGCCAGGCUGGGAGCAGUUGAUGGAGAGUGCCACGGGCUGGUGACCUGAAGCAAUUUCAAGUCAAUGACGUAGAAUUGAAAAACUUCCUUGUCACAUAACUGAUCUCAUUGGAAACCCAGGGCACUCAAAUUUCACUUUGGAUUUUAUACCGACUUUCCAUUCACAUUUAAACUAUGUAGAUAACAUGUUAAGGAAUUAUUCUUUAAAAAGUAAAGAAUUAAUUUCUUUUUGAGAUGGUUGAUUUGUAGACAACAUUUGUGUAAUUUUGCAUUCUAAAUGUGAUUUAUAUUUGUAAAUAAAUUUGCAUAAAAUCUCCAGCUUUUGAUGUCAUAGUUCUAUUUUAUCUUUAAUUCAGAUGUUCAAGAAAUGUAAAUUAUUUUUACAGCUAAAUAAAAGCUAUACAAAGCUGCCAGGAAAGAAUAAUGAGGUACACAUUGUGCCAUGCAGCCAUGAUAAAUCCAGCAGCACCAUGGUUACAGUCAAAAUAUGAGGUCAUCAACAAC